CACGCACGAGCGAGACUGCCCUCGAGCGAAAUCAAAUGAACGAGGCCCCCUCGACUCCUUUCUCGAUCUGUUUCCUAGGGUGUGAACGCCGCCGCCGCUGAUCCCAUCUUCCCCAGCGCCUAGAUCCGCAGCCGCCGGCCAUCGAGGUCGUCCAUGGAGGUCCGACCCUCCCUUUAGCCAUGGACUGAGACGCCCGAAACCCUAGCUACCCGUGGAGGUCCAACGCCUCAACCUCCAAGGAAAGGACGCGCGCCGGCUGCAGGCCAUCUCCGGCGACCUCCGACCAUGAUUGCUCGGAUCUGGACCAGCUGCUGCUCCUACUGCUUCAGGUGGACGAGGACGAGCCCUCCCUCAUGGCUGCUGCGGCUGCCUACUCCCUUGGUCACCACGCCCCUCCCGUGCCUGGGGUCUCCUUUCUCUCCCGCAGCGGCCGCAGUAGGCGCGUGUGGCUAGAAGGGUUGAGGGAGCGAGGUCAGUGCCCUCAGGGCGGACGCGGCUGGAGGUCAACGACGAGCAAGGGGCACGGCGGCGGCAGGUGGCUGCUGUAGCAGAACCAGCCAUCUUCCUGAUCCAGGCUGCCCAGGCAGGUUCCAGCCGGGCAUCCGCUGGCCACGCGCAUAAAUGUAUCAGGAAUGAGCCGGCCGUUCUACAGUCUGGAAUAUAAUCGGACGAAGAGCGGAGGAAAGUGGACCAUGAACAAUGGCGUGGCUCCGUAAUGUGGGACACCUCGCCAUUGAGGCGAGCGGCGGCUGCAUAUCCCACACCACACUUACCAUCUGCACGGGGGGCCAUGGCCAAGCGAUGAAUUUUGCUCUGCACCUAGCUGGGAGUUUCUGCCUUGGCCUGCUCUUGACCAGCGGGAUGUGAACAUUGUCCGAGGUUGCCAAACCAGAUGAAAGAACAGGGAAAGACAUUGAGCUCACUGCCAAAGAUUGUUAUUCUGCGAAGAUAUAUCUCAUCUCUAAUUAUAGUAUUUCGUAGUGUCAUGCUGAUUAUAUAGUUCAUCUUUGGCCUUGCACCGUGGUUGUGGUAAUAUUUGUUGUUUUUUCCUACCUGUACAGUUUAGGUCGGGUUUGAUCAUCUCCCCAGUACCCCAUGCCUGGCUCCCUUAAUGUUCAUAUUCCACAUUUCCUUUUUCACUAACUAGUCUCUCCAGUCUGACCUAUGCGUUUGUGUUAAUGUGUCAACAAACUUAAUUUAUUUGAAAACUAGACAUUGCAUUUCAAAAUUCGUUACAGUAUAAAGAACAAGAAAUCCAUCAUUGCAAAGAUGACAAAUAUAUAACAAAAGCAUGCACUGAACUAUUCCGAUUGUUUUUUUUAGAAUAACAAACUCAUGAGUUGGUUCAGGUAGAUAUGCGACUAUGUCAUCGACAUCGAUAUAACAAUAUAUAUUCAUUGGUCCAUUUCAAACAAUCAGAAUAUAUACUUAUGUGAAGCAGAGAGGGCACCAUGGAGAAGGUGAGGUGGGCAUCAUCCAGUUUUAAAGGGGAGGGCUCCAGCAAGAAAUGUACCGCUACGGCGAGAAACCGAGCUGGAAAGGGAGCGUCCAGCAGAAAAAUGGCAGGGUGCGUCAGGGGGUGGCAUUUUGCAGAAUGGUCUGGGGAGGUUCGCAACAUUGUCUACUCAUCUGAUGGGAAAAUCUCUAUCUGUUGCGUAUCGUGUGACUAUGGAACUGAUGCAGAGUUUGUAGGUCCUACUAUUUGAUUAGUGGAUGCGACUGAUGGGGGCAUGGAGAUGAUGGCGAGGCAUCGUGUUGUGGUGGCGGUGAUGAAGGUAACCUCGUCGAUGGCGGCGGCGACGGGUGGCUGUUGACGAAAGCGAUUCGGGGAUGGGGGAUGUGGAGUGGCAAGGGAUGGAGGCGUAGAACUGCAGCCGGGGAGACGGAGUGGCGGCAAGAUUGGACGAGCUCGCCUGCGGAGUGCGUGGGCAAGAUUUCCCUUUCCGGGUCAAACGAGGGCUUCCUUCUAUGUGUAUGUGUUUGUGUGUGUGCGCGCACACACAUGCGUGAGUUCACACUGAUAUUCCACUAAGUACAGCGCAUGCUUAACUGAAAUUCUAGACAAAAGUUCACAUCCGGUUGGUACAUGUAAGAAGCUCAUUUCUAAUUUAUCAGGUGGCAUAAAUAGACCAUAAAAUUAUCUUCAUUUAUAGUGCUAAAGAUAUGCCAAUACAUUUUCUUACGUUUAGGGUCCUAAACCUGUUGAAUGAAUUCUAUAUACAAGACUUACAGUUGUCCUUCUAUAAAUUAAGACUGAAUUUGCUAAUCUUUGUUGUAUUGCUAUUGAUGAGUCUAUAAUUGUCAACCUUGACAGUAACAAAACUCAAGAUAGUUUUAUCUCUUAGUGUGAGCAAAUAAGAUUUUUUAAGAGCUUUCCUUUGGAAUAUUUUUCUAUUACAGAAGUUGAUGCUCGAUAUUUUUAUCCAUUCCUGAUAUCAUUUCUUGAUCUACUACAUCAUUAACAAGAGCUUGCGAUUGCUUCAGGGAUUCUACGGAUGUUCUCCCAUAACCUCUUGAAGUGAUGCAAUGCGACGAUCUUCAACCAUGAAAAUGAAACUGCCAGCGUGGACGGAAACUGCCAGCAUGGACGGCCUACUCCUAUGAUCUCACAGGUUCUUGCUUACACUGGGAAUGAUGAGGCUAACAAGUUUUUCCUUGGAGGUGAGAUGUCACUUGACAACACGAAGCUUCAGCUGCAGCAGCGUCUUGCCUGCGUCAUAUAUUUUGUAUUAUGUUUUUGUGGGCAUGGUUCUGAACUUUGGCAUCGAUGGAUAGAAUUUCGUCCAAACUAUAAUGUUGUUGUUCAAGUGUAGGAUAAUUCGUUUUGAUGUCUCUGUUGUGUGUGCGCGGGCAUGUGCCAAAGGCGUCUAAUAGAACCCAGGUGAAGGCGAAGGAGGUUUGGCUCUCAGACAUGUGUAACACUCGAUGAUAACAACGUGCAGACUGAAAAUAUGGAUCCCAAUUUCAAAGCCAUAUCCAAUUAGUUUGUCUCUCAAAAAAAUACAACAAAUGCUAAAGGAUGAUUUACCCAUGGAGGCAUGGACCGAGAUUGCUUUAAUUUGGUCGUACGGAAGAUUAUGUUUGAUGACAUCCAAAUGGCACAAAAAACAAAACAAUUAAUAGACAAACAUUAUCUCGACAUGAAAUUUUGGACUUGCUUGCUGGUGGCUGGUGCCCUGCAGGGACCAGGUGGUGCCGUCGGCCGCGGCGCCGCCGCCACCGUCGUUGCAGCAGCUAGGCCGGGAGUAGCCGAGCAGGGAAGAAGCAUAAUUGUUUUCUAUAUUCUGCUCCUCCCACCGACCAGUUGAGGGUUGGAGUCAUCGGACAGCGCCGUCAGGCGUCAGCUAAGUUAAAGAAUUGAGAAUUGGACGACUGGCCGGUUCGUACGGCUGCUCUUAGUGCUCUGCCGAUUUGGCCUUCGGAUUGUUGCCUGCUUAACUGCUUGUGGGAUGUAUAAGCACAAAAAACAGUUCAAAAAAUUACAAAUGAAAUAUAAUAUUUCAAAAAAAUGUUCAUCAC